rnacentral:lncRNA from 1 species
CGAGAAUAAAUGACCAGGUAGGAUUUUAACUAGGAAGACUUGUAGGGGUCCACAUACAUCCCCACUCAUGGCUGAGAUGGAUCACGGUAAUGGGACAGAGAGGAAAAUCAGCAAAACCGUCAGAUGGGAGGCAGCAGAUGCUUCCAGGGGGCCACACAGGACGCAGCUCCUCCUCCCAUGAACUCGAAGACGCCCGGGAAAUGUUUUCUCCUAGGGAAGCUCAUUUGUGACUCAGGGCUGGGGUGUGUUCUAGAGGCAGAUGGCAUAGGCACCCCCGCCUGGCAUGAACCAAGAUUCCAGGCUCCCCAAAGGAAAGCGGCGUUCAGCAUAAGUCCUGCUGUUUCCCCCAGAAUAUUUGGGCCCAGCAAGCCACAUUGCUCCGAGAAUCAUGGGACGCUUCUGAAAUCCAAGUUCCCAAACGCCAAGCUGGCAAGCAGGUAUUUAAAAAAGGUAGUGAGGCCACUGUGUCACGGCUCUGCCCAGUUCCCGAGAAGCCCAGGGUGGGCAGGAGGGAGGUUGCCACUCUGGGUGCUGCCCCACUGGUGACUGGCAGGAGGGGACACUGUGAUUUAAAAUAGAUUUGGCCUUUGCCUGGUUCCUGACCCAGAGCUCCUAAGCACUUCCUCAUUUCCUGAGUAACAGGAGCUUACGACACAGAGCUCCCACAUCCCCAGGGAUUUCCUGGGUGGUGGGACAUUUCUGGUGGGCUCCUGGAUAGCCUCAGGGUGGGGACUGAUGACCAGGGAAACCAGCCAUGUGAUCUGAGGGUCGCACCACCCAGCAGCUGGGGAGGGGAGAGGGGCCGGUGGCAGUGGCUGUGGCCAGUGAUGUACCCAGUCACUGGUGGUUUAACUGGUGGUAACUGUAGGCAGAUAGGGUGUGGCUAGGGGAAGGAGGUCACCGGGGCGUGCCUUUGGAGUUUUGUUUGUCCCUGGUGAGUGGAGCCCUGGGCUGUGGUGUCCUGGUAGCUCUCUGCCGCCAUCUCCUCCUGCCUCACCCCAGCUAGGCAGUGGCUGACCAGGGACUGAACCUGUGACACCAGGACCCAAAGAAAGUUUUCCUCCUCGUGAGUUGUCCCCAUCGGGUCUUC